AAGACAUCUCCAUGACGAGGA
rnacentral:tRNA from 1 species